UCUCUCUCUCUCUCUCUCUCUCUUGAUAUCUACACCGUCACUCGGAGCAGUGCGUCGUCGCCGGCAAGCCACGAGGAGGAGCUCUGAUCUCCAACUCCAAGUAUCUUUAUGCCGUCUCGGUCCAACGUGCCUUUGCCGGCGAGCUAAUUUGCUUGAGCCUCGAGGAGAAGAUCCGAUCUCCAAGCAGCAGAGCUCCGAUCUCCGAUCUGCAAAACCAAAGGCGUUGGAGUCGCGCCGAGUGCCGCUCACGCAAUCGCCGAAUCUGUUACUGGUUUGUUUCCACAAAGCGAUGCGAGCCGAGCUUGCCGAUCUCCGUCUCGUCACCACGACCGCAUUAGAUUAUCAUUUGUCGUUUGCGUAUGUGGAGGGGGAGAGCUUGCUGAUGGGGUUGAAGGAGGUGGCGGUGUCGAGUGGGAGUGCUUGUACUAGUGCGAGUUUGGAGCCGUCGUAUGUGUUGAGGGCGUUGGGGGUGGAUGAGGACAUGGCGCAUACUUCGAUUAGGUUUGGGAUUGGGAGGUUUACGACUAAGGAGGAGAUUGACAGGGCCGUGAAGCUUACGGUGAAGCAGGUGAAGAAGCUGAGGGAGAUGAGUCCGCUUUAUGGUGAAGGAAGGGAUUAAUAUCAAGCAUAUUCAGUGGUUGCACCAUUGAGGGGUUGUGUAGUGGAGCAGUUAAUAUACAUAAUACAUGUGUACUGGUGAGCUGCGUCUUAUGGAGUGGAGAUGGAGAAUUCAAGGUUCAGUUUGCUAUCCUUGUUUGUAAUGCCUUUGACAACUCUCCUUAGUAACUCUAUAUCACUAAAUUUUGCAGACACAGUAUUUUUCUUUUCUAAU